AGGUGCCUACUCGUCGUCUCGUAAUGGUAUCCAAUGCCAUGUAGCGUGCCACGCAGCUGACGAUAGUUCGUUAUGCAACAGUGAUCAGUUCGAGUACUCCACGUGCACAUACCGGACUAACGCCAAUACCGAAGCAUGCAAGAAACUGAGGAUCGGAAGGGAUUCUUUUACACUAACCUGUGCCGAAAACUGUCAAGAAGGCUGUGAUUCUAAUGGCUGUACCGAGUGUUGUUACACUGACUACUGCUUCGACCGGGAUGGAAGAAACGGAACUACGUCACUUGUGGUCACGUGGGUUGUAAUGGGCGUAACCCUUUUUGCGAGUAUCUUCGUAUCCACAUAUUAAGGCGACCGCACACCUUGCGAUUGGUCUGCGACUCAAUUUUGGAAUAAAACGUAGUAGAAUUUGAUGCUAAUAUUGAGACUAUUGGAAUAUUUUACUGUGUAAUGUUCGAAAUCAUCGUAUGAAUCCCUGAGUUCAAAUAAUGUGAUUUUGCUAUCAUCCUUCUUAGAAUAACGGCGAAUUUAAUAUCUAGUCGUAACGACGUCAUAGCAGUCGUACGAUUGGCUACGAUUUGAAACUAAUUUGGAAUUUGUUCAAAAAUAAAGGUUUACAAUCUUACAAAAUGGUAAUAUAAGUAUAAAAGGACAUGUUCCAUUCACAUUUUCAGAAAAUGAGCAAAAUGCGAUUUGUUCCUAAAUCGGAUCGCGAACAGUCGUAAGGUGUGCGGUGGUGGCCUUCGGAAAGUGAUAAUAACGUGCAAAAAUUGUCUUAAUCUCGAGAACGCCAUGAAAAAUACUGUGGAAAUUGUAAUGGAGUGGGAUAAGAUUCUCCUCGUAGACCCCUGAACAAGAAUGAUUUUUAUGAGGUCACAGUAUUUUGUGUGUACUUUUUGCAUUGGAGUAAAUGUCAUAAAAGCUUUGGAAUUGCGAGCAAUAAUGUGAACUAUACUUAAGUCAAUUAUACAGAAGGCUGGUGUUUCAACAGUCGAUUCCUUGUGAAAAUUUGACUUGUGACUUUAUUUUAAAUCAAGUCCCCUCUCUCGGCUAUGUUUCUAUUCUUCUUAAAACUGGCAAUUUGAUCACUGAUCUUUAUUUAUUGGCUAUUAGAAAGCUAUAGACGAAGAUUAGAUCCAGGGGGGAGCAGUGUGGUUCACAAAGAUUGAAGUAUGACUUUGAGUCGAACUUAAAUGCCUCGCUGCAUGCGGUAUAAAGGGCAUGACCGCAUUGGUCAGAUCACUCUCGGUCAUACUUAAAUCUAUGUGAAACACCCCCAGAAAAAAUCAGCCGUUUUCAUACUUGGGAAGAUUUUUUUUAUUUAAUUAUAUAAAUACAAAAAUAAGCAGAUACUUCACUUUGAUUGGCCCACCUGAUAAAUAUUCAUGACAGUGCUUCCACUUUUCAAAACGGAAUUUCCUGGAAUUUACUCUGAAAGUUCUUGGAAGUUUACAAAAUAUCCUGGAAUUUUCUGAACGGUUCUCCAGUUUUCCAUUAGUUAUAAUUCUCUUUUAUACACACAAAAAAUGAAAUAUGUGGCCCAGUGCCGUAAUUGAGCCAAAAAUUUUGAGAAGGCGAAACAUGACGUAAAGGGCAAAGUUUAUAAAGAGUUGCGAGCGAGCGAGCAAAAUUUUUGACAUUUUAAUCAAAAUGAUCCAAUUUUGUGAUAGAUUUUGACAUAAUAUUCAGAUGAAAUAUCUUUCUCGAAAAUGAUAUACUUCCUGGAAAACUUCCUGGAAUUUCUCACUUCCUGGAAUGAUCCUGGAAAAUAGCAAAACUUCCUGGAAUUUCCUGGAUUCCAGGAAAGGUGGAAGCACUGAUUCACGAAGACAUGCCUAGAACUGUUUCACCGUAAUAAUGCAAAUAUUUAAAAUUCAAUAACUUCGUUACUUAUCCGAUUUCGAUCAAAUUUUCAGCAUAUUGUUCUGUGAAUUCUACUCUAUUUAAUGAGAUAUAAAUAUCUCCAGCCUGGACCACCCCUUUACUAUCACAGUCAAUUAUAAAGUUGUUUAAAACAAUUUUGAACGUUGUUUAAGCCCGCCUCUAUAACAACUAUUGCUUUAAGUUUUAAACUUUUUGAAGUUGAAGAAAAAGGUUUAAACAAUUCAAAAAAGUUUAAACAAUUGUUUUAAAAGUUUGAACAAUUUUUGGUUAGAGUGACGGGUCUAAAUAACGUGCGUACAUUUUAAACAGCGUAUUUAAAGUGUAUAGGUCACAAAAUGUUGUUACUAUAAACUUGUCCUCUUUAUUUCCCCCUCAUUUGUUUUAGUUCUGAUCAUUCAUUAUCACUUGGAAUUCAUAGAGGCGGUCCCCUUGCUACAUUGUCACACUUGCCCUACUAAUUUGUUUAUACGACUGUGUUGAUAAAUUAAUUCUUUGUAGCUACACAUAAAACAUCAAGCUUCAUACAAAAUUGAAAUAUAUGGAUCAUAAUGGAAUGUGAUAUUAUAUACAGGCCUCUAUUCAAAUGCUUCACAACGCUGUAUAUAGCAUGGGCUAUAGGACGACUACCUUGAUAUGCUUUCAUAGAUUUUGUUGUUCACAUUAAUUUCGGAAAGGAAUAUUUUUAUGAUAAUGUAAUACCAGAGACUUAAAAGUCUGGGGUUAAUCCAGUACAAUUUAGCCACACCUGCGAAUUCUACAAUUAUUUUCAAAAUAGUAAGGGGGGUGGGCGUUCCAUAUUCGUACCUUUUCUAGUUACUAACCGUAGGGAAUAUGCCAAAUGUAUUUUUAGUGCCUGGUGCAUGUUGUAAAACAUAAGAACUCCUUUUCUUUACCCAUAAAAGUAUUUUGUAUAUAUUUGUAUAUCAAAAAAGACCUGAAAAAGCAAAAGUACUAAAAUAUCCCUUUCCGUUACUAACAUACUUUUGACUGAAAUAAAUUAAAAACACUGAAAAUCAA